rnacentral:rRNA from 1 species
GAUGAACGCUGGCGGCGUGCCUAAUACAUGCAAGUCGAGCGAACAGACGAGGAGCUUGCUCCUCUGACGUUAGCGGCGGACGGGUGAGUAACACGUGGAUAACCUACCUAUAAGACUGGUAUAACUUCGGGAAACCGGAGCUAAUACCGGAUAAUAUACUGAACCGCAUGGUUCAAUAGUGAAAGACGGUUUUGCUGUCACUUAUAGAUGGAUCCGCGCCGCAUUAGCUAGUUGGUAAGGUAACGGCUUACCAAGGCAACGAUGCGUAGCCGACCUGAGAGGGUGAUCGGCCACCCUGGAACUGAGACACGGUCCAGACUCCUAAGGGAGGCAGCAGUCGGGAAUCUUCCGCAAUGGGCGAAAGCCUGACGGAGCAACGCCGCGUGAGUGAUGAAGGUCUUCGGAUCGUAAAACUCUGUUAUUAGGGAAGAACAAAUGUGUAAGUAACUAUGCACGUCUUGACGGUAACUAAUCAGAAAGCAACGGCUAACUACGUG